rnacentral:tRNA from 1 species
GCGAGCGGAAACCGCCAACGCCGGGUUUAGGUCCCGGUGCCGCAAGGCAUGGAGGUUCGAGUCCUCUCGCCCGCA